rnacentral:misc_RNA from 1 species
AGAGACAGGUGAGUCAUCGAAUCUUUGAACGCACAUUGCGCCUUUUGGUAUUCCGGAAGGCACGUCUGUUUGAGCGUCAGUUAAACCCUCGUGGAAAAAUUCAUGGUAUUGGGAGCCGCCGGUCAACGGCGACUCUCUGAAACUGACAGGGACAAUGCCCCCGUGUUAGACUGAUAAAAUCAUUGUCGAACCGCGGUAAGGCAGCGACCCCUCAAGAAAAUGUGCCCCCGGCACCUCUUACUCUUGACCUCAAAUCAGAUGAGGAUACCCGCUGAACUUAAGCAUAUCAAUAAGCGGAGG